GUGGGGAGAAAAUGAUGGCUCCGGUGAAGGAAUGAGCCUGAGGCCCCAAGCAAAGCUGUUCCUAGGGCGCACGUUCACUGGAGUGUUCCGCGUUUGAACUCACUUUGUAGUUCAGGUGGCAGCAGGGCUUGUGAUCCUUCCACCUGAGCCAGAGCUUCAAGACAGAAUCGGACAUCACAGUUCCCAGGGAAGACCGAGGUCUUGGAGCCUCUAUCACCAUCAGCUUGUUGAAGGUGAGCAGAUUGCCCCAGAAGGCCACCUCUCCUGCCCCGCUGCGUUUGCUCUGUCUCCCCAAGACGUGGCAGCAACAUUCUCUGAUACUAUACUGGUGCACAGGCUCCAGGUUCUGGAAAUUAGUGGACCAUACCAAGAUUGGAGGCAGAGAACAAUUGGUCCUGAAGCUGGACUUCAGCAAUGUUAACAGUCCCGCCUGCUCGACUCAGCCCUGAACUUCACAUGAUCUGCUUCUGUGAGCCUGGCUGUCUGUGUCCUGAGCCUUCUCACUUCCCGGGUACAGCUGUGACUUUCUUGUCUCCUUUUGCCUGUGAUGCUGACCUUACAGAUUGUCCUUCUAAAGACCUCUCAUCACUUUGAACCCCUCUCCUGGCCUCCCAGUGCAGCAUGCCCCUCAGGUGACUCUGAUCUGGAGGCACCUGUGGAGCAGGUAUGGAUGGGGACUCCAUGCCCUGUGGAUCUCUGAGCUACCAAUGCUGGCUGGAAGUUGACCUGGAGCUGGGCAGAGGACUCUGUGCUCACUGCUUGAAGGCACAAUGGGAUGUGCACAGGGAGCAUCUGGUCACUUCUCCCACGUGCUCAGGACUUGGUUCCCAGAAGUGAUGCUGACCCUAAUGCCUGCCCCAAACUUGUUUUUAACUAAUUAAACUUACUGCUUUUACUUAAA